rnacentral:rRNA from 1 species
UACGGAGGGUGCGAGCGUUGUCCGGAAUCAUUGGGCGUAAAGGGCGCGUAGGCGGGCGGUCAAGUCGGAGGUGAAAGCCUGCAGCUCAACUGCAGAAGUGCCCCCGAUACUGAUCACCUCGAGGGAGGUAGGGGCGUGCGGAACUUCCGGUGGAGCGGUGAAAUGCGUAGAUAUCGGAAGGAACACCGGUGGCGAAAGCGGCGCGCUGGACCUCUUCUGACGCUGAGGCGCGAAAGCCAGGGGAGCAAACGGG